rnacentral:misc_RNA from 1 species
CCGAGUUUACAACUCCCAAACCCAAUGUGAACAUACCUCAAGUUGCUUCGGCGGGAACGCCCCGGCGCGCCCUCCGACCCUCCCGCCCGCGGGGGGAUCGGGGAGCCUAGCCCGGACCCAGGCGCCCGCCGGAGGUACCCAAACUCUUGUCUUCAGUAUAUUCUUCUGAGUGGCAAACGCAAAAUAUUAUACAAUUCAAAU